GGAGGCGCUGAAGAACAGGUUGUGCGGGCCGCACAGUCGCCGCUCCCGGAAGUAGCUGUUGCCCGGGCAACCAAAACCCAAACUAACAGCUAGAGGCCUGUGCGGACGGUCCGGGGACUCGGGAGAUGUCCGCUGGAGGAGCAUGGCGACUCCUGGAUUAAGAAUGAGAGCGAGCGCUGGGCACUAUGGGAGCAUAGCCGCCGCCAAACUCAGACUGGUUUCGCGCAGGCACGGAUCGCUUCCGGAAAUGCCUUCUGCUUUGGGUCUCCGGUCAAAAAGUGGGGAGCGCUGCUGCUGUGCAGAGCUCAUUUAGUUCCACAGCUGUCUAUCGCCCGUCCCAUGGAGUCUCGGUCCCCCACAAUCUCAGAUAGGGCAAGCGGGCGCAGCGCUGUUCUUCCAGGGCGCUCAGACACAGCUGAGGAUCCCAUUUUAGUGUUAUAAAGAGAAAACAAAUGGAUGGAAGAAAAUCAAAUAGAGGAGUAAAGAAAAUUAGCAAAGAAAAUUAACCUGUGCUUUGAAAUGAUCUCAAACUCAUAGUUUCGCUAAAUGGUGAGGGUUUUUUGUUUGUUUGUGGUGAUGGCACAUUAAAUUUUUUACUUGCCAAUGGAAAUUCCUGGAAAGAAGCUGUGUAAUAAAAACAGCAGUGAUGUGGAGAGGCUGUG
rnacentral:lncRNA from 1 species